UGAUCGAUUGGAAACAACCGACCCGUGACACUUUCAUAUUAAUCUUGCCUCUGUUUAACGUCUUCAAAAUUUUGGGUAUAGGCAUAUUCCUACAAAGAUUGCUCAUGACAUUAGGAGGAUAGGCAAAGAAGUCGACCAAUCUGUUCUGAAGCUGACGGACGAUGAUUACAAUGCCGAGAAGCCGAGCUUCUUACAGGCCUUAGUCAACAAUUUUGGCCCUGGAUGGAGUGCCAUUGUAGACGAUUGCAAGGCUAUAUUCUUCGCCGGACAUGAAACAACUGCCAGUGGCGCUACCUUUGCUUUAGUACUUUUAGCACACCAUCCUGAGUGGCAGGAGCGCGUGCGUGCCAAGGUGGUAGAGAUCCUUGGAAAUCAAGCCCCGAAUAUGGAUAAGCUGCACAAAAUGAAAUUGUUAAAUAUGGUGAAUUACGAAAUAUUGCGCCUAUAUUCUCCUGGACCGUUCUUGACAAGAGAAACGUCAGAGGAAAUGAAGUUUGGGGAGUUUGCAAUUCCGAAAGGUGUCAACAUCUGGAUCCCAAUCUCGCUGUUGCAUUAGGAUCCGGCCAACUGGGGCAACAAUGCCCACGAGUUCCAUCCAGAAAGGUUUGCAAAUGGCAUUUCUUCAGCAUGCAAGCUUCCGAAUCUGUUCAUGCCUUUUGGGACAGGGAUACAGAAUUGUGUUGGCUAGAACUUAGCGAUGAAGAACUGAAGAUAGUUCUGUCUCUUCUUCUAUCUAAGUUCACUUUCUCUUUAUCCUCGGAAUACAUACACUUGCUGAGUUAUAAGCUGUUUUUUAAGCCUGAACACGGGGUCCAACUGAAGAUGGAGAAGAUAUGAAAUUGUCCAUCUUGUGUUUUGAGUGUUUGGUCUGUUGCAUUGGAAGCUGUACCACGAAAAAGCAUAGUCAAUAUAAUUGUAGCAUCAUGUCCUCUUGUGGGUGGUCAGUAGGGCUUAAUUCUGUGUAAAAGCUAAGCUUAGUGUGCUCUUGGCUUACAGGGCAUAUCAAUAAAUUUGAUUGGCAGCUGUUCGUUGAA